rnacentral:misc_RNA from 1 species
GGCCAUCACAAGCGCUACAAUAUGAAAAAUCCAAAACCACACACCGUGUUUAACAAGGUUUCUGAAUCACAACCAUACCAGCUGAUGAGUGAUGACUAAGAGCUAUAUUGAUUCUGGAAUUUAACCUCCCUUCUCAAGCUUCUGAAUUUAGCAAUGACGAUUGAUGAAGAAAGAUAAGCGUGAGUGUGUUCAGUUGCUAACUGAAAUGAAAAAUGUGUUUAGAAUGAUGAAAAGUACUGGUGGAAAAUAACCAAGUGUGACAGUGGGGGUUGUG